rnacentral:lncRNA from 1 species
GUUUGAGAAUUUGAAAACCUUUGAGAUCCCCACCCCUUAACCAUAUAUAUUCAUGUAUGGGACAAUAUAACAAUUCAAAUGAAAUAUAGGGGAGUCCCUGGGGUCACCGUACACCCUCAUGUUUGAGAACUUGGAAAUGGUCAAGAUCCUCACCCCUAAACCAUAUAUACUCAUUUAUGGGACAAUAAUGAAAUAAAGGGGAAGUCCCUGUGGUGACCCCACCUCUCCUGUUUGAGAACAUGGAAACGGUUGAGAUCCCAACACCGAAACCAUAUAUAUUCAUGUAUAGGACAAUAUAACAAAUAAAAUGAAAUUAAGGGGAAGUCUCUUGGGUCACCAUACCCCUUCCUGUUUGAGAACUUGAAAACCGUUGAGAUCCCCACCCCUAAACCAUAUAUAUUCAUGUAUGGGACAAAAUAACAAAUCAUUUACAUUUACUAUGGGC